rnacentral:SRP_RNA from 1 species
GCUGGUCAUGGUGGUGCGUGCCUGUAGUCCCAGCUAUGUGGGAAGCUGAGGUGGGAGGAUCACAUGAGCCCUGGAGGUUGAGGGUACAGUGAGCUAUGAUCAUGCCACUACACUCCAGCCUGAGUGACAGAGUGAGACCCUGUCUGAAAAAAACAGAAAGUUGACAUGAAAUAUUUUUUUAUUUUUUUAUUUUUUCCAAGACGGAGUCUCGCUCUGUCGCCCAGGCUUGAGUGUAGUGGCAUGAUCAUAGCUCACUGUACCCUCAACCUCCAGGGCUCAUGUGAUCCUCCCACCUCAG